AUCACCUGGGGAUCUUGUUAAAACAUAGACUCUGAUUCCGUAGGUCUGGGUUGAGGCUCAAGAUUCUACAUUUUAACAAGCUUCCAGGUGAUGGUGG
rnacentral:pre_miRNA from 1 species